rnacentral:rRNA from 1 species
UACGUAGGGUGCAAGCGUUGUCCGGAAUUAUUGGGCGUAAAGAGCUCGUAGGCGGCCUGUCGCGUCUGCUGUGAAAACUCGGGGCUUAACCCCGGGCCUGCAGUGGGUUCGGGCAGACUAGAGUGCGGUAGGGGAGACUGGAAUUCCUGGUGUAGCGGUGAAAUGCGUAGAUAUCGUAAGGAAGACCAGUGGCGAAGGCGGGUCUCUGGACAGUUCCUGACGCUGAGGCACGAAGGUCAGGGGAGCAAACGGG